ACUUAAAUUGAAGAGUUUGAUCAUGGCUCAGAUUGAACGCUGGCGGCAGGCCUAACACAUGCAAGUCGAGCGGUAGCACAGAGAGCUUGCUCUCGGGUGACGAGCGGCGGACGGGUGAGUAAUGUCUGGGAAACUGCCUGAUGGAGGGGGAUAACUACUGGAAACGGUAGCUAAUACCGCAUAACGUCGCAAGACCAAAGUGGGGGACCUUCGGGCCUCAUGCCAUCAGAUGUGCCCAGAUGGGAUUAGCUAGUAGGUGGGGUAACGGCUCACCUAGGCGACGAUCCCUAGCUGGUCUGAGAGGAUGACCAGCCACACUGGAACUGAGACACGGUCCAGACUCCUACGGGAGGCAGCAGUGGGGAAUAUUGCACAAUGGGCGCAAGCCUGAUGCAGCCAUGCCGCGUGUGUGAAGAAGGCCUUCGGGUUGUAAAGCACUUUCAGCGGGGAGGAAGGCGGUGAGGUUAAUAACCUCAUCGAUUGACGUUACCCGCAGAAGAAGCACCGGCUAACUCCGUGCCAGCAGCCGCGGUAAUACGGAGGGUGCAAGCGUUAAUCGGAAUUACUGGGCGUAAAGCGCACGCAGGCGGUCUGUCAAGUCGGAUGUGAAAUCCCCGGGCUCAACCUGGGAACUGCAUUCGAAACUGGCAGGCUAGAGUCUUGUAGAGGGGGGUAGAAUUCCAGGUGUAGCGGUGAAAUGCGUAGAGAUCUGGAGGAAUACCGGUGGCGAAGGCGGCCCCCUGGACAAAGACUGACGCUCAGGUGCGAAAGCGUGGGGAGCAAACAGGAUUAGAUACCCUGGUAGUCCACGCCGUAAACGAUGUCGAUUUGGAGGUUGUGCCCUUGAGGCGUGGCUUCCGGAGCUAACGCGUUAAAUCGACCGCCUGGGGAGUACGGCCGCAAGGUUAAAACUCAAAUGAAUUGACGGGGGCCCGCACAAGCGGUGGAGCAUGUGGUUUAAUUCGAUGCAACGCGAAGAACCUUACCUGGUCUUGACAUCCACAGAACUUUCCAGAGAUGGAUUGGUGCCUUCGGGAACUGUGAGACAGGUGCUGCAUGGCUGUCGUCAGCUCGUGUUGUGAAAUGUUGGGUUAAGUCCCGCAACGAGCGCAACCCUUAUCCUUUGUUGCCAGCGGUCCGGCCGGGAACUCAAAGGAGACUGCCAGUGAUAAACUGGAGGAAGGUGGGGAUGACGUCAAGUCAUCAUGGCCCUUACGACCAGGGCUACACACGUGCUACAAUGGCAUAUACAAAGAGAAGCGACCUCGCGAGAGCAAGCGGACCUCAUAAAGUAUGUCGUAGUCCGGAUUGGAGUCUGCAACUCGACUCCAUGAAGUCGGAAUCGCUAGUAAUCGUAGAUCAGAAUGCUACGGUGAAUACGUUCCCGGGCCUUGUACACACCGCCCGUCACACCAUGGGAGUGGGUUGCAAAAGAAGUAGGUAGCUUAACCUUCGGGAGGGCGCUUACCACUUUGUGAUUCAUGACUGGGGUGAAGUCGUAACAAGGUAACCGUAGGGGAACCUGCGGUUGGAUCACCUCCUUACCUUAAAGAA
rnacentral:rRNA from 3 species